rnacentral:rRNA from 1 species
UAACGAGCGAGACUCUGGCCUACUAAAUAGUUGACGCAUUGCCACUGUGCGCACAACUUCUUAGAGGGAUUGUCGGUGUUUUCAACCGCACGAAAUUGAGCAAUAACAGGUCUGUGAUGCCCUUAGAUGUCCGGGGCUGCACGCGCGCUACACUGGCAAAAUCAGCGUGCUUGUCCUCCCCCGAAAGGGGUUGGUAAACCGAUGAAAAUUUGCCGUGAUUGGGAUCGGACAUUGCAAUUAUUGUCCGUGAACGAGGAAUCCCUUGUAAGGGCGAGUCAUCAACUCGUCCUGAAUACGUCCCUGCCCUUUGUACACACCGCCCGUCGCUGCCCGGGACUGAGCCAUUUCGAGAAAACCGGGGAUUGUUGGCCUGACGGCUCUCGGGUCGUCUAGCCGAUGAGAACCGGCUUAAUCGCACUGGUUUGAACCGGGCAAAAGUCGUAACAAGGUAGCUGUAGGUGAACCUGCUGCUGGAUCAUUA